AUUGAACGCUGGCGGCAGGCCUAACACAUGCAAGUCGAGCGGUAGAGAGAAGCUUGCUUCUCUUGAGAGCGGCGGACGGGUGAGUAAUGCCUAGGAAUCUGCCUGGUAGGGGGGGAUAACGUUCGGAAACGGACGCUAAUACCGCAUACGUCCUACGGGAGAAAGCAGGGGACCUUCGGGCCUUGCGCUAUCAGAUGAGCCUAGGUCGGAUUAGCUAGUUGGUGAGGUAAUGGCUCACCAAGGCGACGAUCCGUAACUGGUCUGAGAGGAUGAUCAGUCACACUGGAACUGAGACACGGGCCAGACUCCUACGGGAGGCAGCAGUGGGGAAUAUUGGACAAUGGGCGAAAGCCUGAUCCAGCCAUGCCGCGUGUGUGAAGAAGGUCUUCGGAUUGUAAAGCACUUUAAGUUGGGAGGAAGGGUUGUAGAUUAAUACUCUGCAAUUUUGACGUUACCGACAGAAUAAGCACCGGCUAACUCUGUGCCAGCCGCCGCGGUAA
rnacentral:rRNA from 1 species